AGUGAACGCUGGCGGUAGGCCUAACACAUGCAAGUCGAACGGCAGCACAGUAAGAGCUUGCUCUUACGGGUGGCGAGUGGCGGACGGGCGAGGAAUACAUCGGAAUCUACUUUUUCGUGGGGGAUAACGUAGGGAAACUUACGCUAAUACCGCAUACGACCUACGGGUGAAAGCAGGGGAUCUUCGGACCUUGCGCGAUUGAAUGAGCCGAUGUCGGAUUAGCUAGUUGGCGGGGUAAAGGCCCACCAAGGCGACGAUCCGUAGCUGGUCUGAGAGGAUGAUCAGCCACACUGGAACUGAGACACGGUCCAGACUCCUACGGGAGGCAGCAGUGGGGAAUAUUGGACAAUGGGCGCAAGCCUGAUCCAGCCAUACCGCGUGGGUGAAGAAGGCCUUCGGGUUGUAAAGCCCUUUUGUUGGGAAAGAAAAGCAGCAGGUUAAUACCCUGCUGUUCUGACGGUACCCAAAGAAUAAGCACCGGCUAACUUCGUG
rnacentral:rRNA from 1 species